GCCCCAGUAAACGGCGGCCGUAACUAUAACGGUCCUAAGGUAGCGAAAUUCCUUGUCGGGUAAGUUCCGACCUGCACGAAUGGCGUAAUGAUGGCCAGGCUGUCUCCACCCGAGACUCAGUGAAAUUGAACUCGCUGUGAAGAUGCAGUGUACCCGCGGCAAGACGGAAAGACCCCGUGAACCUUUACUAUAGCUUGACACUGAACAUUGAGCCUUGAUGUGUAGGAUAGGUGGGAGGCUUUGAAGUGUGGACGCCAGUCUGCAUGGAGCCAACCUUGAAAUACCACCCUUUAACGUUUGAUGUUCUAACCUAGGCCCAUAAACUGGGUCGGGGACCGUGUCUGGUGGGUAGUUUGACUGGGGCGGUCUCCUCCUAAAGAGUAACGGAGGAGCACGAAGGUUGGCUAAGCAUGGUCGGACAUCAUGCGGUUAGUGCAAAGGCAUAAGCCAGCUUGACUGCGAGAGUGACGGCUCGAGCAGGUACGAAAGUAGGUCUUAGUGAUCCGGUGGUUCUGAAUGGAAGGGCCAUCGCUCAACGGAUAAAAGGUACUCCGGGGAUAACAGGCUGAUACCGCCCAAGAGUUCAUAUCGACGGCGGUGUUUGGCACCUCGAUGUCGGCUCAUCACAUCCUGGGGCUGAAGUAGGUCCCAAGGGUAUGGCUGUUCGCCAUUUAAAGUGGUACGCGAGCUGGGUUUAGAACGUCGUGAGACAGUUCGGUCCCUAUCUGCCGUGGGCGUUGGAAGAUUGAGAGGGGUUGCUCCUAGUACGAGAGGACCGGAGUGAACGCACCACUGGUGUUCGGGUUGUCAUGCCAAUGGCAUUGCCCGGUAGCUAAGUGCGGAAGAGAUAACCGCUGAAAGCAUCUAAGCGGGAAACUUGCCUCGAGAUGAGUCUUCCCUGUCGCUUUAAGCGACCUAAAGGAACGUUUAAGACUAAGACGUUGAU
rnacentral:rRNA from 1 species